rnacentral:rRNA from 1 species
UACGAAGGGGGCUAGCGUUGUUCGGAAUUACUGGGCGUAAAGCGCACGUAGGCGGAUACUUAAGUCAGGGGUGAAAUCCCGGGGCUCAACCCCGGAACUGCCUUUGGAUACUGGGUAUCUCGAGUCCGGAAGAGGUGAGUGGAAUUCCGAGUGUAGAGGUGAAAUUCGUAGAUAUUCGCAAGAACACCGGUGGCGAAGGCGGUCUGCUGGCAGCUGCUGACACUGAGGCGCGACAGCGUGGGGAGCAAACAGG